rnacentral:rRNA from 1 species
CACGUAGGGGACGAGCGUUGUCCGGAUUCAUUGGGCGUAAAGCGCGCGUAGGCGGCUCGGAAAGUCGGGCGUGAAAUGCCGGGGCUCAACCCCGGGACUGCGUCCGAUACUGCCAUGCUUGAGGGUUGGAGAGGUAGCUGGAAUUAUCGGUGUAGCAGUGAAAUGCGUGGAUAUCGAUAGGAACACUCGUGGCGAAGGCGAGCUACUGGACAACAUCUGACGCUGAGGCUCGAAGGCUAGGGGAGCAAAAGGG